GUUAACGUGAUGUAGUGGUUUGAGUGUUGGACUAGAACUCCAGAGACCAGGGUUCGAAUCCUGGCUCAGCCA